CACGUAUGGUGCAUGUACACCGUGUGGCCUGUGUGCCGAGGAUGAUCCCUGUAAUAUCGGAACAGGUCACUGCCCACGGGGAUGCAAGUUUGGAUGGACAGGACCCACGUGUAAAACAGGUUGGCUGAUAUUUGUCGCCGCUGGUGCAGUAAUACUCGUCAUCGUUGCCGUCGUCAUCGGUGGCGCUGUAUACAAUGUCAGAAAACUCAAAAGGAGAUACCAAAACUCGUAUGUGGAAUUUGCUGAGAGAUGCAACCGACUGUACGAAUUGUAGUGAUAAAGGAUCGACCUGGAAUAGAGGACAGGCAGGAUCGCGAUGUAACAUAUCUAGAUCGACCACAAAAAGAGGAUCGACCCGGAGAGAUGUCACGCAGUUUGUCCAAGACACCGCUCUGAAUUAGAAUUUUCAAAGUGAAGUUUUACAGGUUAUUAGGAUUUUUGUUUCGCAAAAUAUACAUCUAUAAAUAACGACCCUGCUAGUAUAAUCUCAAGGAGAUAUAGUUUGAUUU